rnacentral:lncRNA from 1 species
GCCGCACGGCUUUCGCCGCCGUGGCCGCACCGCGGAAGGGGAGCGGGGGGUCCGGGCGCAGCGGUGCCGGGGGGCACGCGUGGGCACGGCUCCGCGGCCCGGAGGGGCCGUCCGCCGCGUCCGGACCCACAGCCGGCUGCUGGGACCGCAGCCCCGCACGUCGCAGCGGCAGCUGUCGGGAACGCUGAUUGCGCGUUAGUUACUGCACGCGCCGUCCCGGCUCUCGUCGUACCGGGAACGCUUCGGCUUCUCUUUGGGGGCCCCGCCGCGGGGUGCCGUGCCUCCGCCGCCGGGCACGGAGGGAGAGAUGCGCGGUCCUGCGGCCGGGCUUCCUCCCUCGGGUCACUUCAACGCUGACCCGCGCGCCGGCUUAUGGUGCCAAAGGAGCAGGCACAGCACAGCAGCGCUGGCACUCCCCAAGACAGUCCGUCUCUCCCACUACAUGUUCAAGGAAAGCAGAAAACCCAGCUCAUGGUCCGCAGCAAUAAAGGGAAUGAUGUGAACCGCCUCUCAUCCCUCCAAGCCUUCCACCGUGAGUAGCCUGCAACAAAUACAGACAGUGCUUAUGCUUUAAAGUAAUGAUGAAACCGAAGUAUUUGUAGCUAUUUCCUUUGGGCAACUGGAAAUAAGAACCAGCACUCCAUCUCAGGCUUGUUCCCUGCGGAGUGCAGCACGAAGACAAUCCGGGAACAGGAAGGCUUUCUCUGGGACAGCCUCCUGCAGCCGUCCUCUUGCAAGGACCGUCUCCUUGGGAGGGAGGGCUCUUCUUUUGUUGAUGAAAUGUAGCAGCAGCUCUUGUGGACGGUGCCAAGCAUUCUGAGCUGCAGUUCAUACUGUCUCACCAGCUGGAUGAUUCACUGCUGGAGGAGAGACCAAGGACUUCACCUGAGCUCAGGAGACAGAUGUUACUACUUCACAUUAAUUAGAAAGAAAGGGGGGAAAAAAAAAAAAAAAAGAAGAAGUAAAAGCAAGCUAAACCCAGAAUGAACUUGAGCUGCAUCUUUUCAGAGAGACGGAAUAUGCAGAAUGAGGGAAUCACAAAGCAGGUUAGGCAUACUUCACUUUUUACUGUCUGGGAGGAGUGUGUUCUCAGAGGAAACCCUGUCUCUGUUACAGGUAGAUCCAGUCCCACAGCUGCCUGGUUUUGUUGCUCUCGGAGGGUGCUGCAAUUGGCUCUGAUGGUCGCAGUUUCCACCUUUGUGUCUUAACUAAUCUUUUAGCCAUGCUGGGUCAUGCUAUCAAACGCCUUGAAGAUCAGAAGUGACGCUGUGGUUUGGCCUCCUGGCCCAAGAGGCAGAGGGUGGGUUUGAUGCCUUUGUGGUGGUCAGGGCUCCCACUGCAGUGCGCUUGUCCAGCUGGCAUUUGCCAAGUGCUGUGGGCUUCAUGCCCAGGUGUAUCACAUAGCUGUAGCCUCGCCAAGAGGUGACAAAGAUAUGACUAACUGAGGUUAGGUUGCUCCUGCCAAAAGGCAUGGCUGCUUGUGGCCAAACAGAGAACAUGGAAAACACUGGGAGUUUCACGUCACUGGGGAGUGCUCCUAAGACAUGGGCUAUGUAGAACAGCCGGGAAGAUGUUUCAGCUCAAGAAGGCUGCUCUGCAGCUUCAGUACUGUGUUCUGUAUGAUUGCCAGAGAAGGGUUUGAUUGUUCUUGAGUGUCUCAGUUCAGCUCUGCUGCUCCAGCUGUAGGUCCUGGCCUGAGAGCACAUUGUACCGGAUGCAGAACAUCAGUUUCCAUUUGGAGAGCCUUCAGCUGGCUGUGAGCUGGUCCCUACCUGAGCUUCCUCUGGAAAGGGGCAGCUGCUGGGAAUGACUGUGACAUUUGUUUUGGAUGCUCAUCUCUGAGGAGAGUGUCUGCAAGCAGUUCCUAGCCAUGGUGACUGCUUCUGCCUUCUGAGUCAAACCCCUUCCUGAUGAGACUUCAGGAAUCUGAAGGAUUUGCAUGUGUUUUGCAGUUCUGAUCUUGAGUUUCACUGUCCUGUGCUGUGUGUAAGAACAGUGCCUUGGGAAUAAAGCAACAUGGGCCUUUCCCAUCUCUUGAUCCUUUGCCUGCACCCCCUCAGUGCAGGGUGGUGCUGGACUACCCAAGGGCUGGAUGACACAGUGCUUGGUGCGUGCAUGUGAACUUGCUGCUCCCAGACAGCAUGGGGCUGUGCUGUAUUGUUUUCUCUCCAGACAAUGCAGCACUGGAUUGUAAGUAAAAAUGCAGAGCACACUGCAAUGUUUGCUCUUUAUUAAUGCACUAAGAUGCAUUUGGGUGAAGCAGAAGGCUCCUGGCUGGCUUGGUUUCAAGCUCCGUGACAGGCUUCCAUAAACACUUUGCCACAGACAGCCCCUUUGUUGAGAGGGGAGCUGGUGAGCAAGUGAGCGAUCCUGGGAGCUUCCCAAUGGCCGGUGGGCACUACAGGGCACUUCAGCUGCAGCUGCUGCUGCUGCGGGGCAGGAGGAAAGGAGAGUGCAUGAGCAGAGACACCCUGCUCUGCCAGCCUUUGCUUGCUGGCCUGGUAGCUUUUGUAGUCUCUCUGCACUGGGUAUCUGGCCACCUGUUUUUUAGCUGAGCAACUUGAGCUAAAAGCUGCCGGCUAUGACACAGUACCUCUGUUGCCAGAACACGCAGUUUCUUGUUCCACUUUUGAGGAAUGUAUGUGGCCGCUUACAGCAAUUACAGCUUAACCUUCCAGCUCUGAACUCUGCCUAGUAUCAGGGAAAUACCAGCUGGAGCAAAUAUCUUGACCUCUGGAUGACACAGCUGGGAGAUAACUGCGGUCUCAGCCUCAGAUGCUCUGAUUCUUGGUCACGCAGCACUUGGGCAGGCCCUCCUGCAGGCCGAGAAGGAUGGGGUGUCCAUCCCCAGAGCAUCCCUGCCAACACGGGCCGUGCUCUGAGGAGGGAGGUGACAGCGUCAGGCUGUAUGUUAUGGUGGAGAUAGGGCCCACCUCACGGCUGGGUUGGGCUGGUUCUUGUUGCACGUUUAGGUUUUUGUCUAAGGCACUUCACUGCUUUAGCCAAGCUGCAGCGGAUGAAGUUGUAAGUCUGACAGCGGACGAGUGCGGUUUGACCCUUCUGCUCUCUUUCACCUUCAGUUUGCGCUUUCCUACACGUACAGCAUUAAGGUUUGG